UGGGGAAUAUUGGACAAUGGGCGCAAGCCUGAUCCAGCAAUGCCGCGUGGGUGAUGAAGGCCUUCGGGUUGUAAAGCCCUUUUGGCGGGGACGAUGAUGACGGUACCCGCCGAAUAAGCUCCGGCUAACUUCGUGCCAGCAGCCGCGGUAAUACGAAGGGAGCUAGCGUUGUUCGGAAUUACUGGGCGUAAAGGGCGCGUAGGCGGUUUCGAUAGUCAGGCGUGAAAUCCCCAGGCUCAACCUGGGAAUUGCGCUUGAUACUGCGAGACUUGAGUGAGGGAGAGGAUAGUGGAAUUCCCAGUGUAGAGGUGAAAUUCGUAGAUAUUGGGAAGAACACCAGUGGCGAAGGCGGCUAUCUGGACCUCAACUGACGCUGAGGCGCGAAAGCGUGGGGAGCAAACAGG
rnacentral:rRNA from 1 species